GAUGAACGCUGGUGGCGUGCCUAACACAUGCAAGUCGAGCGAUUCUCUUCGGAGAAGAGCGGCGGACGGGUGAGUAACGCGUGGGUAACCUGCCCUGUACACACGGAUAACAUACCGAAAGGUAUGCUAAUACGAGAUAACAUGCUUUUAUCGCAUGGUAGAAGUAUCAAAGCUUUUGCGGUACAGGAUGGACCCGCGUCUGAUUAGCUAGUUGGUGAGGUAACGGCUCACCAAGGCGACGAUCAGUAGCCGACCUGAGAGGGUGAUCGGCCACAUUGGAACUGAGACACGGUCCAAACUCCUACGGGAGGCAGCAGUGGGGAAUAUUGCACAAUGGGCGAAAGCCUGAUGCAGCAACGCCGCGUGAGCGAUGAAGGCCUUCGGGUCGUAAAGCUCUGUCCUCAAGGAAGAUAAUGACGGUACUUGAGGAGUAAGCCCCGGCUAACUACGUG
rnacentral:rRNA from 1 species